rnacentral:rRNA from 1 species
GUAGGUGGCAAGCGUUGUCCGGAAUUAUUGGGCGUAAAGCGCGCGCAGGCGGUUCUUUAAGUCUGAUGUGAAAGCCCAUGGCUCAACCGUGGAGGGUCAUUGGAAACUGGAGAACUUGAGUACAGAAGAGGAAAGCGGAAUUCCACGUGUAGCGGUGAAAUGCGUAGAGAUGUGGAGGAACACCAGUGGCGAAGGCGGCUUUCUGGUCUGUAACUGACGCUGAGGCGCGAGAGCGUGGGGGGGAGCAAACAGGAUUAGAUACCCUGGUAGUCCACGCCGUAAACCGAUGAGUGCUAAGUGUUAGGGGGUUUUCCCGCCCCCCCCCGUUAGUGCUGCAGCUAACGCAUUAAGCACUCCCGCCUGGGAGUACGGCCGCAAGGCUG